UACAGAGGUUGCAAGCGUUAAUCGGAAUUACUGGGCGUAAAGCGUGCGUAGACGGUUAUUUAAGUCGGGUGUGAAAGCCCCGGGCUCAACCUGGGAAUUGCAUUCGAGACUGAAUAGCUAGGGUACGGUAGAGGGAAGCGGAAUUUCCGGUGUAGCGGUGAAAUGCGUAGAUAUCGGAAGGAACAUCAGUGGCGAAAGCGGCUUCCUGGACCAGUACCGACGUUCAGGCACGAAAGCGUGGGGAGCAAACAGG
rnacentral:rRNA from 1 species